GAUGAACGCUGGCGGCGUGCCUAACACAUGCAAGUCGAGCGAACAGACGAGGAGCUUGCUCCUCUGACGUUAGCGGCGGACGGGUGAGUAACACGUGGAUAACCUACCUAUAAGACUGGGAUAACUUCGGGAAACCGGAUCUAAUACCGGAUAAUAUAUUGAACCGCAUGGAUCAAUAGUGAAAGACGGCUUUGCUGUCACUUAUAGAUGGUUCCGCGCCGCAUUAGCUAGUUGGUAAGGUAACGGCUUACCAAGGCGACGAUGCGUAGCCGACCUGAGAGGGUGAUCGGCCACACUGGAACUGAGACACGGUCCAGACUCCUACGGGAGGCAGCAGUAGGGAAUCUUGCGCAAUGGGCGAAAGCCUGACGGAGCAAUGCCGCGUGAGUGAAGAAGGUCUUCGGAUCGUAAAGCUCUGUUAUUAGGGAAGAACAGAUGUGUGUGUAUCUAUGGACGUCUUGACGGUACCUAAACAGAAAGCAACGGCUAACUACGUG
rnacentral:rRNA from 1 species